GGGGGCUACGGGCUUCGGGCUUCGGCUCGACUCUCCCACCCUUUGUGAACGUACCUCUGUUGCUUUGGCGGCUCCGGCCGCCAAAGGACCUCCAAACUCCAGUCAGUAAACGCAGACGUCUGAUAAACAAGUUAAUAAACUAAAACUUUCAACAACGGAUCUCUUGGUUCUGGCAUCGAUGAAGAACGCAGCGAAAUGCGAUAAGUAAUGUGAAUUGCAGAAUUCAGUGAAUCAUCGAAUCUUUGAACGCACAUUGCGCCCCUUGGUAUUCCGGGGGGCAUGCCUGUUCGAGCGUCAUUACAACCCUCAAGCUCUGCUUGGAAUUGGGCACCGUCCUCACUGCGGACGCGCCUCAAAGACCUCGGCGGUGGCUGUUCAGCCCUCAAGCGUAGUAGAAUACACCUCGCUUUGGAGUGGUUGGCGUCGCCCGCCGGACGAACCUUCUGAACUUUUCUCAAGGUUGACCUCGGAUCAGGUAGGGAUACCCGCUGAACUUAAGCAUAUCAAUAGCCGGAGGAAAUCUUUACCGAGUUUUCGGGCUUCGGCUCGACUCUCCCCCCUUUGAGAGGCUCUUUUGUUUGUGGGGGCGGCCCCCAGGACUCCAACUCCGUCGUAGACGGACUUUUGAUAAAGGUUAAAAAAAUGAAAAUUUAAAAAGGGUUCUUUUGUGUUCUGCUCUUUA
rnacentral:rRNA from 1 species